GACGAACGCUGGCGGCGUGCUUAACACAUGCAAGUCGAACGGAAAGGCCUGCUUUCCCUUGUGGAUUGCGGGUACUCGAGUGGCGAACGGGUGAGUAACACGUGAGUGAUCUGCCCCCAACUUGGGUAUAAGUCUGGGAAACUGGGUCUAAUUCCCGAUAGGACUGCAGGGUGGUGCCUGUGGUGGAAAACGAUUUUCUAGUGGUUGGGGAUGAGCUCGCGGCCUAUCAGCUUGUUGGUGGGGUAAUGGCCUACCAAGGCGGCGACGGGUAGCCGGCCUGGGAGGGUGGACGGCCACAUUGGGACUGAGAUACGGCCCAGACUCCGACGGGAGGCAGCAGUGGGGAAUAUUGCACAAUGGGCGGAAGCCUGAUGCAGCGACGCCGCGUGGGGGAUGACGGCCUGCGGGUUGUAAACUCCUUUCGACCGCGAGGAAGCCACCUGGUUGGAAGGGUGGUGACGGUAGUGGUAGAAGAAGCACCGGCUAACUACGU
rnacentral:rRNA from 1 species